rnacentral:rRNA from 1 species
AUUGAAUGCUGGCGGCAGGCCUAACACAUGCAAGUCGAGCGAGCGGCGGACGGGUGAGUAAUGUAUGGGGAACUGCCCGAUGGAGGGGGAUAACUACUGGAAACGGUAGCUAAUACCGCAUACUAUCAGAUGAACCCAUAUGGGAUUAGCUAGUAGGUGAGGUAAGGCCUCACCUAGGCGACGAUCCCUAGCUGGUCUGAGAGGAUGAUCAGCCACACUGGGACUGAGACACGGCCCAGACUCCUACGGGAGGCAGCAGUGGGGAAUAUUGGACAAUGGGGGAAACCCUGAUCCAGCCAUCCCGCGUGUAUGAUGAAGGCCUUCGGGUUGUAAAGUACUUUUGGCAGGGAGGCGGUAUCUGCAGAAUAAGCACCGGCUAACUCCGUGCCAGCAGCCGCGGUAAUUC